UUUUUGGUGAAAGUAAAAAGUAGGGUCUGCCCAGUGAGUAAUUUUAACGGCCGCAAUAUUUGUGCGAAGGUAGCAUAAUCAUUUGUCUUUUAAUUGAUGACUGGAAUGAAUGGCUGGACGGGGAUAAGCUGUCUUAUGUAUAUAUAUUUGAAAUUUACUUUUAAGUAAAAAGGCUUAAAUAUUUUAGAGGGACGAGAAGACCCUAUUGAGUUUAAUAGAAUUUAUUUAAAUUUUUCUUAAAUUUUUAUGUAAUCUAUUUAGUUGGGGAGAUUUGAUAUUAUUAACUAUAUAAGAAUUAAUAGACUUUAAGUUUUUAGGAUCCAUAUUUUAUGAGUGUUAAGGUAAAUUACCUUAGGGAUAACAGCGUAAUAUUUUUUUAGAGUUCAAAUCGAUUAAAAUGAUUACGACCUCGAUGUUGGAUUAAGGAACCUAAUUUGGAGAAGAUUUUAAUUUAGGUAGUCU
rnacentral:rRNA from 1 species